CCUACGGGAGGCAGCAGUGGGGAAUAUUGCACAAUGGGCGCAAGCCUGAUGCAGCAACGCCGCGUGGGGGAUGACGGCCUUCGGGUUGUAAACCUCUUUUAGCAGGGAAGAAGCGAAAGUGACGGUACCUGCAGAAAAAGCACCGGCUAACUACGUGCCAGCAGCCGCGGUAAU
rnacentral:rRNA from 1 species